rnacentral:rRNA from 1 species
GACGAACCUCUGGUGUUCCGGUUGUCACGCCAGUGGCACUGCCGGGUAGCUAUGUUCGGAAUAGAUAACCGCUGAAAGCAUCUAAGCGGGAAACUAGCCUCAAGAUGAGAUCUCACUGGGAACUUGAUUCCCCUGAAGGGCCGUCGAAGACUACGACGUUGAUAGGUCGGGUGUGUAAGCGCUGUGAGGCGUUGAGCUAACCGAUACUAAUUGCCCGUGAGGCUUGACCAUAUAACACCCAAACAAUU